rnacentral:lncRNA from 11 species
UUUGGUUUCUUCAAUAAUCUAGAUCACUUCAGAGGUGAAGUUCAAAGAGGACAAGCCACAAAGGACUCAGUAGGAAUUCUUCCUCUUGACAACUGUUCUUCAUCUGGCAUGUUCAAAAGGUACAUUUGUGGUGUCAUUUCGAAGUUCGUAUGUAGCGUCUUUUCGAGAUUUCUGUCUACACAAGUGCCUUCUUGUAGAGUUUUUGAUACUUUUCAGGAAUUUAAAUCACUUCAAAGGCCAUAUUACAAGAGAACUGAAAACAAAGGACUGAAAUGCUGUACUAUAUUCUAAAUGAGACAUCUUCUUGGUAACUGGGUGGACUUCAUACCUAAGUGAUCUUCUGCUUCAUAUAUUUUUACUAGUUUUUGUCUUUCAUAAACUUCAAAAUUUAGGUACUAUAUUAAAACUGGUAAAAUGGUGCUGUUGGUGACAUUUGUCUUCAUGCUACUGACUUUGGGAAGCUUCCAAGGUUAACAGAAUUUAAAUGAAAAGUAUUGAGUGAGUGUUUUGAUCCUUAAGUUUUUGUGUCCCCCUCCCCCACGCCCUGUGUUUCUUAAUAUCUGUUUGCAUACACAAUUCUUACAAAAUAGAUAUGACAAACAAAUUUCAAACAAAGUUUGGCACACCCCUAU